rnacentral:rRNA from 1 species
UACGUAGGGGGCAAGCGUUGUCCGGAAUCAUUGGGCGUAAAGCGCGUGUAGGCGGCUGACUAAGUCCGCUCUGAAAGCCCGGGGCUCAACCCCGGGAGGCGGGUGGAUACUGCUCAGCUCGAGUCCGGAAGAGGAGUGUGGAAUUCCUGGUGUAGCGGUGAAAUGCGCAGAUAUCAGGAGGAACACCAAUGGCGAAGGCAGCACUCUGGGACGGUACUGACGCUGAGACGCGAAAGCGUGGGGAGCAAACAGG